UCUCUAUAGCAUAAAAGUUAGCUCAUAUUUGUAUGGAGUUGGAACGUUUGCCUACGUUUGCCGCUAGGGGCGCUGUUCCAACUGCAUACAAAAUUAGCUUAACUUUUACGCUAUCGA
rnacentral:pre_miRNA from 9 species